GUGAGAUCAUGUCCCGAGCUGAAGUUGGACACUUAACCAACUGAGCCACCCAGGUGCCCCUAAUAAUAUUUCUAAUAGCUGUAAAAUUCUUCUAUCGUAUGGCUGAACCAUAAUUUAUUGACCAUUCUCCAAUCAGUGCAGUUAUGGCCCUUUGCAAAUUAUUUUGAAUUACAAAUAGUAUGAUGAUAAAUAUUUCUAGACAUGAAUCUCAGUAAGAAUUGGUGCAUGGGGAAAUAGACAUUGUCUUCACCAUCAGGUGAAGUUUGGGCAAAAAAGUAUAGCGAGUGGCAUGCCUGGGAUCAUCUUCUCAGCCGUGUGUGCCAUUUUCACUCAGGUUCCCUCACAAAUCACAAACCUCAGAUUGGAGUUGCCAAUCUCUGACAGAAGGCAUGAGAUGGUCAAUUUCCAUGUUAUCUCCCCAUGUGGGUGAGAUAAAGAUGUCUGAACCAAAGAGCAUUUCAUAGUUGAGUUCACCAGCCCUGUUCUUAGCCAAAGUGCACUUAAAUCUAAAUAAAAGAAGUGCCCUCCUCUCCCUAGCAAGUUCAAAACACAUAUUCCACUAGGAAAGUGACUUCAAAUUCAAGAAAAAUAAUAUAGAUGACCCAAAUCCCAAACUAAGUAACAGAUUUCUUUUUCUAAUGAAAUCCAUAUACAUGAGUCCCUGCUUGCCCAUACUUGAUAGAACAUUCUUCACGAUGUAUAUUACAGGUCCAGUGACAUUCAGCCAUCUCUGAAGUCAAGCUGCCUUUUUAAUUUUCCCUUUUCGCUGAAACAAAGAAAAACCAAAGCAGAUCCUCCAAUGGCCUGAAGCUUCUGUUCUGAGAUGCCAAAGGGAUCUUUGUGACAUCAUUUUAUGUGCUGCUCUGAGCACUGAGAUAAGGGAAGAUGCAGGGGGUCCUUUCCCACCAAUGUCACCUGCUUCUUCUCUCCUAUGUCCCAACCCAGCUGAGUUCCUGGUCUGAGGAAAGGACAUCCGAUUCCAGGAUGAGGCAGAGAGCUUUGGUAACCUUUCUACUGUAAAAUGUUCUGGUGUCGGUAUUCUGGGUGCGACUACAGACUGCAUCUGUUUCAGGAUCAUUCACGCCACUGUCCUGGAGGCCAAGCCAUGGCCGGACAGGGAUGCCAAUGGUACUUAAGUUCACAAUCAGAAGAAACAUCCAGACCUGAACAUCUAGGCUUUUGAGACACCUGUGGACACGGUCUGUAUUGUUCUUGGAGCCACCAUAUUUCAUUCAUGCCAUGAACCAAAGUGAGCUCAAAAGAAGAUUCUACAACUGAUACGCCAUUUGCAUCUCCUUGGAAAAAUAAACAGGUCGUUGGAUAGGUUCUUUAUGAAAGUUGCACGAAAAGAAAAAGAUUCCAUUGAGCUAAUAGAUACCAGUGGUUCCAUUAGCGAUAGUGAAAGUCCUCCUACACGAUAACCCUCCUCUCGCUUGUCUCUCACACCAGCCACGAAGGUUUUCAAAGAUCAGCCUCUGAAAUAGGAGCACGGCCCCAGGGGAAACGCAGCUUACUCAUCAAGCCUCAGGUAGGAAAGCACCAACAAGUAAUGACUUCCCAGCCGUGGGAUGCUUCUAGAGUCGAUAUAUUUCCAGUCUAAUCGAGACAGCAACCAAAGUGAUCUUUUUCCAUCAAACUUCAUUAUUCAAACCAUUUAUGGGAUAAUUCUCUGAGAGAAGCUGUUUCUUAACACUUCCUUGGUUGAGUAAGCGGCCAGUGGAAAGAUUCUAUAUAUCACUCAAAGGCUCUAAUCAAAGGGAGUCUUGGAGACCUCCACUGUUUACACAAAUCUGGUGACCAGGCAUUUGGAAUUUGUUCAAGUUCCUAUGGGAUCAGUGUGAUCCUUGAUGGUCUACCUAAUAACAUUAAGGCCUUAAACCCUGACCUCGGGCAGUUUUACUCUUCCCUUCUUAAGGUUUUCAUGUUCCAUGUGGACUGUCCUCAAUUGUGGUUGCUACUUUAUCAAUUAAAAGUAUUUCUUUCUGCGGCACCUGGGUGGCUCAGUCUGUUAAGCAUCCCGACUCCUGAUCUCAGCUCAGGUCUUGAUCUCAGGAUUGUGAAUUCAGGCCCCAUCCUGGGCUGCACUCUGGUUGUGGAGGCUACUUAAAAAAAAAAAGAAGAAGAGAAGGACAAGGAGAAGAAGAAUUUCUUCUUACUGCUUGAA